rnacentral:rRNA from 1 species
GACAGAGGUGCCGAGCGUUAGGCGGAAUCACUGGGCUUAAAGCGUGUGUAGGCGGAUCGUUAAGUGCCUUGUGAAAUCCCACGGCUUAACUGUGGAACGGCUGGGCAUACUGGCGGUCUUGAGCCAUCUAGGGGCGACUGGAACAAACGGUGGAGCGGUGAAAUGCGUAGAUAUCGUAAGGAAGACCAGUGGCGAAGGCGGGUCUCUGGACAGUUCCUGACGCUGAGGCACGAAGGCCAGGGGAGCAAACGGG